UAUUGUUUACGACGACUCGCGCGUGGCUGUCAAUCUCCGAAAAUGCGUCACAAACAGAAAUUCCCAAUGAAAAGAGUUAAAAAACAUAAGGGGUACUCUCCAUCAGCACUCACAAAUGCUUACAAACUUGUAAAAGAAACUGGGAUCCCUAUUAAAACUGCUGCUAGACAGUAUGGAGUGCCACAUAACACCCUUCGCGAUAGGGUAAAAGGCCGCGUGGAUCCAGAAACCACGAUGACAGGUUCUGGUCCACUAUUUACAUUGGAAGAGGAGGCAAAGUUAGUAGCACAUAUUAAACUGAUGGCUGAUUUGGGGUACGGUUUUACCAUAACAGAAGUGGUCUCAAAAGCAAGUGACUAUGCAGUCUUUCUUAAGAAGAGAACACGGGACAAACCAUUGACCGUGAAAUGGUUUAAGGGCUUGCGCAACAGGUGGCCGGAGCUCAGAGUCAUAAAACCUAGGGGGUUAGCUAAAUGUAGGGCAGAAGCUACCAAUGAACAAGCUGUUGAAAGCUAUUUCACAAAUUUAGAAAAUGUGCUGAAAAGUAAAAACCUUAUUGACAAACCUGAGUGUAUAUAUAACAUAGAUGAAAAAGGGUUUCAAACUGAACAUGCCCCACCAUACAUAGUAAGUGGUAAUGCAUCAGCUCCCGCAAUCACCUCUUCACGGACAGCAACAACCACGGUCAUUGGUGGCGGUAACGCAAUUGGGACACAGAUUCCUCCCUUCUUUGUUUUCAAGGGUGCGAGAAUGAAUGAAACAUUAAUGCAAGGUGCUUCUUCAGGAUCAGAUGCAAUUAUGUCAAAGACAGGCUGGUCUAAUUCAAGCAUUUUUUUGGAAUAUUUACAAUCCCACUUCAUCAAGUACAUUCAAAGAUCUGAUCCUAAUCAGCAAAUUAUCAUCAUAUUUGACGGCCACAAAUCUCACAUCAAUGUCCCUGUGUUGGAAUGGGCAAAGAAAAACAACAUAAUUUUGUUUGUCCUUCCAGCACAUACAUCUCACGUGCUUCAACCUCUUGAUGUAGCCUGCUAUGGACCUCUGCAGAAAAUAUAUAAUUAUGCAUGUCAAAAAUUUAUCAGAGAACAUCCAUCUUCAAAAAUCACAAGAUACAAUAUUGCAGAAUUAGCAUCCAAUGCAUAUGUGACAGCAUUAUCCGUGAAUAACCUGAGGGCUGCCUUUGAAAAGACUGGCAUAUUUCCAUUCAAUAGAACUGUGAUAAGUGCUGACAUUUUUAAGCCAUCAAUUCCUUAUGUUGUUCCUCAAGAAAACACAUUGGCUUCUGACACUCAGCCAUGCAUUGACAAUUACUUUACAACUGCCGAAAACAUAAUUGAAAUGAAGAAAGCACACCAUACACUAAAAAAGACUUUAAGAAAUCAUGUGUCUGGUCAGGAAAUAACUAGUGAUUGCAUAAAUCAAGAAAUAUUAUCACAGCCUUUACCACGUUCCAAAGAUACACCAGUCUUUCCUAUCAACAAAAGAAAACAAACAAAAACAAAUGCAACAAAUGUCAAUCAAAGUAAUUUCCCCCUCCCAGAACCUCUUCCUGGACCUUCGCACAUUGGCAUCUGUGAUACUGAUAGUCAGUCUUCUGAAGAUGAUGUUUCUGAAGAAGACAAAUGUUGUGUGUGUAAACUUUUUCAACCCAAGGAACUGAAAAACUGUGUUUCCCUUGUGUUUACAAAAUGGGCACAAUGUGAUCACCAAAACUGUGGACAUUGGACACACUUGAUUUAUUGUUGCAAACAGAAAGUUGUUCGGCGGAAUGAUGUCUUCGAAUGCCCAUGUCAUAAAAGUGAAGAGUAAAAAUACUAAAAUUGAAAUAAAAACAUAUAUUUGUUCUAAAAAACAUUGUUAUAAAUCAAGUUUUAAUGUUAUUUUCUAGUUUCAUAAAAAAACUGAACAAAAUCUGCUUAGAAUUGUGAAUUUAAAUAGUAAACAAUGAAGGGUUCGAAAGGAGGUACGAUUGUUUUGGCGGCCAUGACAGUUUUACAUGAUAUGGUGGUGCUGAAAACUUUACGCAAAUCUGUUAACAAAAGAGGAUUUGCAUAACAAUUAAAGUUGUCAGUGCCACGCUGGGUAUGCGGCUACUUUGAUAACAGAUGGCACUUCGAUACCAGAUAACAACAAAGCCACGCGCGAGAGGAGGUGACUUUAACCUUGGCGACAUCAAUUGGGAAGUAGAUGGUACAUGCGUUGGAGCAAGAGACAAGGCUCAGUGUGAUAAGCUAAUCCGCGAAUAAUUCACUCGAGCAGAUUAAGACUAUACCAAACCGACAAGGCAGGAUACUAGACCUAUUACUUACAAGUCAUCCAACACUAAUACAACGCCAUAUCACCUGCCCUCCGAUUGGACUGAGCGAUCAUGAUAUUUUAUCAGUUGUCACCAGCAUUAAACCGAUUAUUAGUAAGAAAGCCCCAAGAACUGUCUUUAAUUACAAAGAAGCAGAUUGGAUUAAAAUCCGGAAAGAUAUGUCAGAUUUUAGUGUUACCUACCCUCAAACGGCUUCAUCCAAAAAAGAAGAAGAAACUAGGACUAGUUUCAAAGACGCAUUAUUCUCAACCAUGGAAAGAAACAUCCCGAAAAAAGUACUGAAAGGAAAACCAGACAUACCAUGGAUGACACAUAAAUUGAAACGGAUGAUAAAUAAAAAGCAAACACUCUACAAUAGGGCCAGGGAAUCUCGCAACGAAGACAAAGAAAUAUUUCAUAAAUAUAGAAAAACUAUCAGAAAUGAACUACAUACAUCUUACUACAACUACAUCAGUAGGCCAAUUGACCCAGAAAAUGACAAAGCGGGUAAAAACUUUUAUAAAUACAUUAAAUCCAGGAAACAGGACUCUAUGAGCAUAGGAACCUUAAAAAACAACGGACGGAUUGGUGAAAGCGCGAAAGACAAAGCCGAGAUUCUUAACGAACAAUUCAGCUCUGUAUUUACUAACGAAGACCUUGAUAACAUUCCAAAUAAAGGUUGUUCACCACACCCAACCAUGCCAAAAAUUCAAGUUACAGCCCAAGGGGUAUCAAACUGCAUCAAACGACUAAACGUGAAAAAAGCAAGUGGUCCAGACUAAAUGCCAAUCAUAGCACUAAAAGAAACAUCGGAAGUAAUAACUCCAAUUCUACAGAACCUUUACCAACAAUCUCUAGACACCCACGAUAUACCAAAAGACUGGAAGCAGGCCAACAUUGUACCAAUCUUCAAAAAAGGAGACAGAACAAAACCGUCAAAUUAUAAACCUGUUAGUCUGACAGCAGUCGUCUCAAAAAUGCUUGAGUUUGAUGUGUGCUGCGUGGAUGCAGUAGCGUGUAUCCCCGUACAUAUCUUCAUGUUGUUAUAUUUUCAGCCUUCAGAGGCGGGUGGCGGUAUUGUGUUUUUAUUAUUAUUUUAAGAAACCUUGUUUAAGACCUUUCUUAUACUUAGAUUCUUAUACAUUCUCUGUACUUAUAAAGUAAACGUGUAUGUUCAUCAAUUGAGAGUUCUGCAGGUUAUACUGAAUUUUUACAGACCAUUAUCUGACAAGCUGCCUUUUACUCUUUUAUGUAUGUUGACUUGGCAAUGUGUAUUAAUGUAAUUAUAAGAUUGGUGGUUUCGCCAAAUAAAUAACCUAUGGACAGAUUGAUAACAAAAACCCCGAAAGUUGUUCUCUCACCAUUGAGAAUUCCGAUUACACGUAGUAUUCAUUUGCCGUUAAAUUAUAGACAAUUACUUAAAUCUAAACCUACAGUCAAAUUAAGUUUACUUCGAACAUCUUUCAUUGGAGGUACAAUGCGGCAGGGUUCUAGUUCGCAGCGUAAUCAAGCUCCGUGUUAUCGGUAUCCUACAAUAAAUAAGUGCAACUCCAGGAAGAGUUUAUGUUGCAAGUUUUUAAAU